rnacentral:tRNA from 1 species
GCCAAAGUAGCUCAGCCGGUUAGAGCAUACGCUUCAUAAGCGUGGGGUCGCCAGUUCAAGUCUGGCCUUUGGCACCA